GAGUUUGAUCCUGGCUCAGAUUGAACGCUGGCGGCAUGCCUUACACAUGCAAGUCGAACGGCAGCACGGGAGCUUGCUCCUGGUGGCGAGUGGCGAACGGGUGAGUAAUGCAUCGGAACGUAUCCUGGAGUGGGGGAUAACGUAGCGAAAGUUACGCUAAUACCGCAAAUUCUGUGAGCAGGAAAGCGGGGGACCUUCGGGCCUCGCGCUCUUGGAGCGGCCGAUGUCGGAUUAGCUAGUUGGUGAGGUAAAGGCUCACCAAGGCGACGAUCCGUAGCAGGUCUGAGAGGAUGAUCUGCCACACUGGAACUGAGACACGGUCCAGACUCCUACGGGAGGCAGCAGUGGGGAAUUUUGGACAAUGGGGCGAACCCUAAUCCAGCCAUGCCGCGUGAGUGAAGAAGGCCUCGGUU
rnacentral:rRNA from 1 species